rnacentral:rRNA from 1 species
UACGAAGGGGGCUAGCGUUGCUCGGAAUCACUGGGCGUAAAGCGCGCGUAGGCGGCUUUUUAAGUCAGGGGUGAAAUCCUGGAGCUCAACUCCAGAACUGCCUUUGAUACUGAGAAGCUCGAGUCCGGGAGAGGUGAGUGGAACUGCGAGUGUAGAGGUGAAAUUCGUAGAUAUUCGCAAGAACACCAGUGGCGAAGGCGGCUCACUGGCCCGGUACUGACGCUGAGGUGCGAAAGCGUGGGGAGCAAACAGGG